rnacentral:rRNA from 1 species
UAAAAAUUUAAUUUAAAAUAUUUAAGUAGUAUUAGUUAAGAUCUUUAAAUUUAAAAAAUUUGGCGGUAUUUUAGUCUAUUCAGAGGAGCCUGUUUUGUAAUCGAUAAUCCACGAUGGAUCUUACUCAAAUUUGUUUUAGUUUAUAUAUCGUCGUUAAAAGAAUAUUUUAUAAGAAUAAUAAUUUUCUUAAUUUUUAAAUUUAAAAUAUAUCAGAUCAAGAUGUAGCUUAUGUUUGAGUUUAUAAUGGGUUACAAUUAUUAUAUUAUUGGAAAUUAAUAUGUAAUUUAUUAUUUGAAAUUGGAUUUGAUAGUAAAUUUAUAUAGAUUAAUAAUUUGAUUAUAGCUCUAAAAUAUG